GACGAACGCUGGCGGCGUGCUUAACACAUGCAAGUCGAACGAUGAAGCUGGAGCUUGCUCCGGUGGAUUAGUGGCGAACGGGUGAGUAACACGUGAGUAAUCUGCCCUUGACUCUGGGAUAACUGCGGGAAACUGUAGCUAGUACCGGAUACGACCCUCGGCGGCAUCGCCAGGGGGUGGAAAGAAUUUCGGUCAAGGAUGGACUCGCGGCCUAUCAGCUAGUUGGUGAGGUAACGGCUCACCAAGGCGACGACGGGUAGCCGGCCUGAGAGGGUGACCGGCCACACUGGGACUGAGACACGGCCCAGACUCCUACGGGAGGCAGCAGUGGGGAAUAUUGCACAAUGGGCGCAAGCCUGAUGCAGCGACGCCGCGUGAGGGAUGACGGCCUUCGGGUUGUAAACCUCUUUUAGUAGGGAAGAAGCGAAAGUGACGGUACCUGCAGAAAAAGCACCGGCUAACUACGUGCCAGCCGCCGCCGUAA
rnacentral:rRNA from 1 species